ACUCAAAUGAAUUGACGGGGGCCCGCACAAGCGGUGGAGCAUGUGGUUCAAUUCGACGCAACGCGAAGAACCUUACCCAGACUUGACAUGCACUGGACAGGUGUGGAAACACACCCUUCCUUCGGGACCGGUGCACAGGUGCUGCAUGGCUGUCGUCAGCUCGUGUCGUGAGAUGUUGGGUUAAGUCCCGCAACGAGCGCAACCCUUGUCCUUAGUUGCUACCAUUUAGUUGAGCACUCUAAGGAGACUGCCGGUGGUAAACCGGAGGAAGGUGGGGAUGACGUCAAGUCCUCAUGGCCCUUACGUCUGGGGCUACACACGUGCUACAAUGGUCGGUACAAAGGGUUGCAAGACCGCGAGGUGGAGCUAAUCCCAUAAAACCGGCCUCAGUUCGGAUCGGAGUCUGCAACUCGACUCCGUGAAGUCGGAAUCGCUAGUAAUCGCCAAUCAGCAGGUGGCGGUGAAUACGUUCCCGGGCCUUGCACACACCGCCCGU
rnacentral:rRNA from 1 species